GGUACAUUUUGAGCAUUGCAAAUGUUUCUUCAGAGUUCAGUCAUGGCCUUUUCCGCUGCCAAGGUUUUCAACUUGUGGUCCGUGCAGCAAUGAGCGACUCAGAGAGCGAGGCCAGCUCGCCAGGCUCUGCCGAGGCGGAAGAAAGCCACGAACAAAAUGCCGCUGACAGUGAAAGCUCUGACGAUGAAAUAAUCGGGCAACGACCCGAAAAACGGCGACAUGUUGAAAGUCUCGACGAGGACUUAGAUGACGAUGAUUAUGAUCUCAUCCAGAGCAACACUGGCAUCAAUUGGAAAAAGCGGAAAAACGUCCGCAGAGCGCACUUUGCAGACAGCGAUGAGGAGGCAGGGAGUGGUUCUGAUAAACCGGACGAGAGUGAUAACAAUGAGGUGGAUGAGAAGGAAGAUAUUGCUAACGAGCUUUUCGGCGAUGACGAUGAUGAGGAGGAAGAGGAUGAGGACGCAAGUCAAAAGGUAAUGAAUCUCAAAAGCACGGAUCCGAUAAUCGGAGAAUGGCCACUUCAAAGCUUUGAGUUGUGGACUCGGCUGCAGUGGCGGUGUGUGUGUGUGUGUUUGUGUGUGUGUCUGUGUGUCUGUGGGUGCACAUCCAGUGCAUUUGCAGAUUUGCGUGCUUCUCUUGCGACGGGCGUAUACAUGGUGGUGGUGGUGGUGUGUGUGUGUGUGUGUGUGUGUGUGUCCAACCUGUCGGAAGGCUACCCUCUUGCCAAAGCAUUUUUGGAAGUUGGACUAGUUUCGGCGCCACAAUCUAGUGUGUCGUUACUAUAAUAGCUUUCAUGGCUGAGGUUGUUGGUACGUCUGUUGGCCCUGGGUUCCCAGUACCCAGUUGGCGAGGCUGGUUGGUAAAAUAACUCCAAUUUCACUUCAAGGUACCAGUGCAUCUAGUGUCUUCUUUUAUCAAAGCAGCGUGCUGUCUAUACUGGUUACCCCAGCAAGUGUAGGGUGUGCAUAGGUAAUUGUCUUGGCCGUCCUAUUCCGAUGUACUCCGUGUGGUGUAGACCAGGUGUGCAUUGGGGGGUCGAUUCACAUGGCUUCGCCAGUUGUGUGAAUUAAUUCUUUGUGCCAUCUUCAAUAGGUCCGUCAAAUACAGUAGUAGUAGGUUUUUCAUUUUGACCCGACGAGACCAUACGACGCUUGCAGAUCACAGCACGAACAGUUCACCAGCCACACUCCACGAAGUGUGAAUUAGACAGUUAUCUGGCGCUUGUCUUGAUCUGUUUCAAUCAGAAUCAGAUCCGCUAUCGUUGCUAUAAAGAAAAAAAUCUGUGGGUGCACAUCCAGUGCAUUUGCAGAUUUGCGUGCUUCUCUUGCGACGGGCGU